rnacentral:rRNA from 1 species
UACGGAGGAUCCAAGCGUUAUCGGAUUCAUUGGGUUUAAAGGGUGCGUAGGCGGAAUGAUAAGUCAGCGGUGAAAUCCCUCGGCUUAACCGAGGAACUGCCGUUGAUACUGUCAAUCUUGAGUACAUUUGAUGUGGGCGGAAUGUGUCAUGUAGCGGUGAAAUGCUUAGAUAUGACACAGAACACCGAUUGCGAAGGCAGCUCACAAAACUGUAACUGACGGCUG